GUUUAAUUAGUUUAAGUAAAAUAAGAAUUUUGUAAAUUCUAGAUAUUAAUUUAUGUUAACACA
rnacentral:tRNA from 1 species